rnacentral:rRNA from 1 species
UCAAGCUACAAAGGGCGCAAGGAGAAUGCCUUGGCACUGGGAGCCGAUGAAAGACGUGGUAAGCUGCGAUAAGCUUCGGGGAGGAGCAAACAUCCUUUGAUCCGGAGAUUUCUGAAUGAGGAAACUCACCAGAGUUCAUACUCUGGUAUCCUGUACUGAAUCCAUAGGUACAGGAGGGGAACCGCCUGAACUGAAACAUCUAAGUAGGGCGAGGAAGAGACAUCAAACGAGAUUCCGUAAGUAGUGGCGAGCGAACGCGGAAGAGGGCAAACCGAGAGUAGAAAUACUUUCGGGGUACGGACUGCUUUUAAGACUCAAUCUGUUAACCGAACGGCAUGGGAAGGCCGGUCAGAGAGUGUGAGAACCACGUAGGUGAAAACGGAAAGAGCUGCGCAGAUUCCAGAGUACGGCCAGACACGUGAAACCUGGUCGGAAGAUGGGGGGACCACCCUCCAACCCUAAAUACUACCCAGUGACCGAUAGCGUAUAGUACUGUGAAGGAAAGGUGAAAAGCACCCCGGGAGGGGAGUGAAAAAGAACCUGAAACCCUGUGCCUACAAGCACCUAGAGCGCGUCAAAGCGUGAUAGGGUACUUUUUGUAGAACGGUCCGGCGAGCGAUUGUAUGCAGCAAGGUUAAGGACUUAAGGUCUGGAGCCGAAGCGAAAGCGAGUUUGAAAAGGGCGUUAAGUUGCAUAUAAUGGGCCCGAAACCGGGUGACCUACCCAUGGUCAGGUUGAAGUGGAAGUAAAAUUCCAUGGAGGACCGAACCGACCUCCGUUGAAAAGGCGGCGGAUGAACUGUGGGUAGCGGAGAAAUUCCAAUCGAACCCGGAGAUAGCUGGUUCUCCCCGAAAUAGUUUUAGGACUAGCCUCAAGUUAGAUACCUGGAGGUAAAGCACUGAAUAGCCUAGCGGCCGAGAGGUUAGCGAAGCUUAUCAAACUCAGAAUGCCAGAGUAUUGAUGCUUGGGAGUCAGACAGUGUCAGAUAAAUGUCAUUGUCAAAAGGGAAACAGCCCAGAUCUACAGCUAAGGUCCCAAAGUCAGGUUAAGUGGAAAACGAUGUGAAGAUACGCAGACAACCAGGAUGUUGGCUCAGAAGCAGCCACUCAUUCAAAGAGUGCGUAAUAGCUCACUGGUCGAGCGUCUUUGCGCGGAGAAUUUAACGGGGCUAAACCUGACACCGAAGCUUAGGCAAUACAGCAAUGUAUUGGGUAGGGGAGCGUUGUAUACGCGGAGAAACAGUAGCGCAAGCGGCUGUGGAGUGUAUAGAAGUGAGAAUGCCGGAAUGAGUAGCGCGAAUGCAGUGAGAAUCUGCAUGGCCGAAAGCCUCAGGUUUCUGGAGGAAGGUUCGUCCGCUCCAGGUUAGUCGGGAGCUAAGGUGAGGCCGGAAGGCGUAGCCGAUGCACAGACGGUAGAGAUUCCGUCACCACCAAAAGAGUUAAGCACAGGGACACAUUUGAAGUCUCAGAGCCGGGUGUUGGUUCCGGUAGAGAUCGAGGGAAAUUAGUACCGAAGUCUGAGAUGGAAGAUGGCGAGAAAAGCUGUGUGUAUUUCUGAGGUGCCCGUACCGCAAACCGACACAGGUAGGUAGGAAGAAGAUUCUAAGGCCAACGGGAGAAGGGUUGUUAAGGAACUCGGCAAAUUGACCCCGUAACUUCGGGAGAAGGGGUGCUCCAGAGAUGGAGCCGCAGAGAAUCGGCCCAAGCAACUGUUUACCAAAAACACAGGUUUGUGCUAAAUCGAAAGAUGACGUAUACGAGCUGACGCCUGCCCGGUGCUGGAAGGUUAAGAGGAGAUGUGCAAGCAUUGAAUCGAAGCCCCAGUGAACGGCGGCCGUAACUAUAACGGUCCUAAGGUAGCGAAAUUCCUUGUCAGGUAAG